CCUACGGGAGGCAGCAGUAGGGAAUCUUCCACAAUGGGCGAAAGCCUGAUGGAGCAACGCCGCGUGGGUGAAGAAGGUCUUCUGAUCGUAAAACCCUUUUGUUAGAGAAGAAAGUGCGUGAGAGUAACUGUUCACGUUUCGACGGUAUCUAACCAGAAAGCCACGGCUAACUACGUGCCAGCAGCCGCGGUAAUACGUAGGUGGCAAGCGUUAUCCGGUUUUAUUGGGCGUAAAGGGGACGCAGGCGUUCUUUUAAGUGUGAUGUGAAAGCCUUGGGCUUAACCGGAGUAGUGCAUUGGAAACUGGGAGACUUGAGUGCAGAAGAGGAGAGUGGAACUCCAUGUGUAGCGGUGAAAUGCGUAGAUAUAUGGAAGAACACCAGUGGCGAAAGCGGCUUUCUGGUCUGUAACUGACGCUGAGGUUCGAAAGCGUGGGUAGCAAACAGGAUUAGAUACCCGGGUAGUC
rnacentral:rRNA from 1 species